rnacentral:rRNA from 1 species
CCUACGGGUGGCAGCAGUGAGGAAUAUUGGUCAAUGGACGAGAGCCUGAACCAGCCAAGUAGCGUGAAGGAUGACUGCCCUAUGGGUUGUAAACUUCUUUUAUAUGGGAAUAAAACGCUGUAUGUGUCGGAUUUUGUAUGUACCAUAUGAAUAAGGAUCGGCUAACUCCGUGCCAGCAGCCGCGGUAAUACGGAGGAUCCGAGCGUUAUCCGGAUUUAUUGGGUUUAAAGGGAGCGUAGGUGGGUUGUUAAGUCAGUUGUGAAAGUUUGCGGCUCAACCGUAAAAUUGCAGUUGAAACUGGCAGUCUUGAGUACAGUAGAGGUAGGCGGAAUUCGUGGUGUAGCGGUGAAAUGCUUAGAUAUCACGAAGAACUCCGAUUGCGAAGGCAGUUCACUGGACUGCAACUGACGCUGAGGCUCGAAAGUGUGGGUAUCAAACAGGAUUAGAUACCCCGGUAGUC